UACGUAGGGGGCAAGCGUUGUCCGGAUUCAUUGGGCGUAAAGAGCGUGUAGGCGGCCAGGUAGGUCGGUUGUGAAAACUGGAGGCUCAACCUUCAGACGUCGACCGAAACCAUCUGGCUAGAGUCCGGGAGAGGAGAGUGGAAUUCCUGGUGUAGCGGUGAAAUGCGUAGAUAUUGGGAGGAACACCAGUGGCGAAGGCGGCUCACUGGACCGGUACUGACGCUGAUGCGCGAAAGCGUGGGGAGCAAACGGG
rnacentral:rRNA from 1 species